AUUGAACGCUGGCGGCAGGCCUAACACAUGCAAGUCGAACGAGUGGCGGACGGGUGAGUAAUGUCUGGGAAACUGCCUGAUGGAGGGGGAUAACUACUGGAAACGGUAGCUAAUACCGCAUACCAUCAGAUGUGCCCAGAUGGGCUUAGCUAGUUGGUGGGGUAACGGCUCACCAAGGCGACGAUCCCUAGCUGGUCUGCGAGGAUGACCGGCCAAACUGUGACUGAUACACGGUCCAGACUCCUACGGGAGGCAGCAGUGGGGAAUAUUGUACAAUGGGCGAAAGCCUGAGGCAGCCAUGCCGCGUGUAUGAAGAAGGCCUUCGGGUUUUAAAGUACUUUCAGCGGGGAGGCGUUACCCGCAGAAGAAGCACCGGCUAACUACGUGCCAGCAGCCGCGGUAAUUC
rnacentral:rRNA from 1 species